rnacentral:rRNA from 1 species
UACGGAGGGCGCAAGCGUUGCCCGGAAUCACUGGGUGUAAAGGGUGCGUAGGCGGGGCUGUAAGUCAGAGGUGAAAGCCCCCGGCUCAACCGGGGAAUUGCCUCUGAUACUGCAGCUCUUGAGUCCCGGAGAGGCCGCUGGAAUUCCUGGUGUAGCGGUGAAAUGCGUAGAUAUCAGGAGGAACACCAGAGGCGAAGGCGGGCGGCUGGACGGGGACUGACGCUGAGGCACGAAAGCGUGGGGAGCAAACAGG